rnacentral:tRNA from 1 species
AAGUCUUAUAUUCAAAAAUGAUUUUAAAUUGCAAAUUUAAAGGUGGUUUAAGCCUAAGGCUUA